ensembl:lncRNA
CUCUGUUAAUCCCAAACACAUGGAGGGGAGUGUGCAAGCUCAGAGCGCGCAUUGCAAACAGAUGCAGAGCUAACCUCUGCUGUGAGCUGCUGUCAAAGCAUCCCCCUCACUUCUUGUGUCUUUCUUUAAAUGUGCAGCAAUGGGACGAUGGGAAGGCUGGGGAGGCAAGUGAAAAACUGCUGCAGAGAAGUGCACAACGUUGUCAUUAGUUCUUGUGGAUAUAGGGUCACACAGGAGCAUGUCAGAAGGGACGGAGCAGUAAGGAACCCAGCUCCAGGAAUGCUCCCUGAGCAACCUGAAUUGGGGAACAAACCCCAUAAAAACAUCAUUUCAGAGCAAUUUGCCAUUCAGCAAUAAAAGUAGAUACACAAUUUACAUAGGAAACACCCCCAGGAAAACAAAUGAGUGUAAUGAGUGGAAAGGGGACGGUUUGUGAGUUUGGAUCUUCCCUUCACCGUGUCCUCACUGCAUGUGUUUUAAUUUUCUUUCCACUCCACUCCUCGUUAUUACCAAGGAGACAACAAACAGCUCCUCACUCGGACUGCCGGUGGGGAGGAGAGCUUUCUGCUUGGCAGGACUGGAGGUGUCUCGAGCUGAUAGGAAAAGCAUCAUUUCCCCUGGUUUCAUUAGUGAGGAGGGCAUGGCUGGCCAGCGGAGGGCUCCUUGCUGGGAAAUCCAAAUUGUGCAGGCAUUGUCUGUAGGAAGUGAGCCCAGAAAGGAAAACCCGCAAAACUCACCACUUUUGGAAGCAAAAAUUAAAAGAUGUGUUUGCAGGAGUAACUCAAACACCCUCUGCAUCACAUAAACUAACUGCUUAGGUGCUUGGUUUUUCUUGUUUGAAACUCCAAAGGUUUGCCAGCACUGCCUUGGGAUGAAGGAAGAAUGUUUGUGUAGGUAUUCACAUGGUAUGAGUGUUAUCUGGGUAUGGCAUUCACACUGCUGGGCUGUUUUGCAGAGAUAAAAAUAUUAAAGAGCACUGGUCCCAAGACAGAACCCUGGGAAGCUCCAUCUGUGACCUCCACCUGGACCUAGAGACAUUGACCGCAACGCUCUGGCUGCGACCAUCCCACUCUUUAUCCACUAAGUGGUCCAGCCUUCAAAUCCAUCUCUUGCCAGCUUAGAGGAAGAGCACCCUUCUUCUCUUUGACACAGCAGACCUCAGCCAGAGAACAGACUGCAAGGCAGCUGCGUUUUCCUCACCUCUACAGUUCUCUUGGCCCAUGAGCAGCUUCAUUCCCAAGCCAGCAGGCUGUGGAAAAUCCCACCAGCUUUACAGGACAUGGGAACCAGCCCCAUGCUCUCCAUCCACUGAAAUGAUGCCAAGCCAUUUUCCUUCCGACACGCGUGUUUAGGUUUGGAGCAUUCCCACCCCAGCUCAAACGCUCCCUGUCUCAGCACUGGAUGGAAAGCACUGCCUGUAGCACAAAAGCAAAUGGAGGACAAACAAACAGAAGCUCAGAGCAAGGUGUGAUGCCAUGCUCUGUUUCUUCUUGGCUGGGCAGAUGGAGGUUGGCGACAGCAGGAAGCACUCCCGUUAUAGGGCUGCCUUUCACGUGGGCUGUUGAUAGCGGUGUGUUCACAGCCCUCGUUAUUUGGGGGGCAUCCUGCUGUUGUGUUUGCAUCACCAGAUAUGCAUCUACCUAUGUGCAUCAGGGUCCCUCUGAGGGUGGCUGCGGCCCUGGGGCUCUGCAGUCUCACAGCACUGGAAGAAGGGCUUAGGAAAAUAACUCUCAGUUAC